CCUACGGGUGGCAGCAGUGGGGAAUAUUGGGCAAUGGAGGAAACUCUGACCCAGCAACGCCGCGUGAAUGAUGAAGGUCUUCGGAUUGUAAAGUUCUUUUCUAAGGGAAGAAGAAAGUGACGGUACCUUAGGAAUAAGCCUCGGCUAACUACGUGCCAGCAGCCGCGGUAAUACGUAGGAGGCGAGCGUUAUCCGGAAUGACUGGGCGUAAAGGGUGCGUAGGCGGACAGUCAAGUCAGCGGUAAAAAUGCGGUGCUCAACGCCGUACAGCCGUUGAAACUGGCAGUCUUGAGUGGGCGAGAAGUAUGCGGAAUGCGUGGUGUAGCGGUGAAAUGCAUAGAUAUCACGCAGAACUCCGAUUGCGAAGGCAGCAUACCGGCGCCCGACUGACGCUGAGGCACGAAAGCGUGGGUAUCGAACAGGAUUAGAUACCCGGGUAGUC
rnacentral:rRNA from 1 species